rnacentral:tRNA from 1 species
GCAACAAUAGCUUAGUAUAUAAAGCACUGGUCUUGUAAGCCAAAGACGAAAAAGUUUUCUUGUUGCU